rnacentral:rRNA from 1 species
UGAGGAAUCUUCGGCAAUGGGCGAAAGCCUGACCGAGCUAUGCCGCGUGCCGGACGAAGGCCUUAAAGGUUGUAAACGGCUGUGGUAAACCACUAAAUUCUGAAGGGUUUACUAGAAAGAGGUUGCUAACUCUGUGCCAGCAGCAGCGGUAAUACAGAGACCUCAAGCACUAUCCGGUUUUACUGGGCGUAAAGCGUGCCGAAGACGGUUUGGUAUGUCUAAAGUGAAAGACCAGAGCUCAACUCUGAGUUGGCUUUAGAAACUACCAAACUAGAGGAGUAAAGAGGUAGCCGGAACUCUGCAAGUAGGGGUGAAAUCCGUUGAUAUGCAGGGGAACGCCGAAUGAGAAGUCAAGCUACUAUUUACCUCCUGACGUUGCUAGGACGAAAGUGUGGGGAGCGAACG